rnacentral:rRNA from 1 species
GACGAACGCUGGCGGCGUGCUUAACACAUGCAAGUCGAACGGUGAAGCUCCAGCUUGCUGGAGUGGAUCAGUGGCGAACGGGUGAGUAACACGUGAGCAACCUGCCCCUGACUCUGGAAUAAGCGCUGGAAACGGCGUCUAAUACUGGAUACGAGAAGGGUCCGCAUGGGCACUUUCUGGAAAGUUUUUCGGUUGGGGAUGGGCUCGCGGCCUAUCAGCUUGUUGGUGAGGUAAUGGCUCACCAAGGCGACGACGGGUAGCCGGCCUGAGAGGGCGACCGGCCACACUGGGACUGAGACACGGCCCAGACUCCUACGGGAGGCAGCAGUGGGGAAUAUUGCUCAAUGGGCGAAAGCCUGAUGCAGCGACGCCGCGUGAGGGAUGACGGCCUUCGGGUUGUAAACCUCUUUCAGCAGGGAAGAAGCGAAAGUGACGGUACCUGCAGAAGAAGCACCGGCUAACUACGUG